rnacentral:rRNA from 1 species
CCCGGGCCUUGUACACACCGCCCGUCACACCAUGGGAGUGGGUUGUACCAGAAGUAGAUUGACUAACCUUCGGGAGGUUGUUUACCACGGUAUGGUUCAUGACUGGGGUG